CCUACGGAGGCAGCAGUGGGGAAUAUUGGACAAUGGGCGAAAGCCUGAUCCAGCCAUGCCGCGUGUGUGAAGAAGGUCUUCGGAUUGUAAAGCACUUUAAGUUGGGAGGAAGGGCAGUAAGUUAAUACCUUGCUGUUUUGACGUUACCAACAGAAUAAGCACCGGCUAACUCUGUGCCAGCAGCCGCGGUAAU
rnacentral:rRNA from 1 species